rnacentral:rRNA from 1 species
GACGAACGCUGGCGGCGUGCUUAACACAUGCAAGUCGAGCGGAAAGGCCACUUCGGUGGUACUCGAGCGGCGAACGGGUGAGUAACACGUGAGUAAUCUGCCCCUGGCUUUGGGAUAGCCACCGGAAACGGUGAUUAAUACCGGAUAUGACACAUUCUCGCAUGAGUUUGUGUGGAAAGUUUUUCGGCCAGGGAUGUGCUCGCGGCCUAUCAGCUUGAUGGUGAGGUAAUGGCUCACCAUGGCUUCGACGGGUAGCCGGCCUGAGAGGGUGACCGGUCACACUGGGACUGAGACACGGCCCAGACUCCUACGGGAGGCAGCAGUGGGGAAUAUUGGACAAUGGGCGGAAGCCUGAUCCAGCAACGCCGCGUGAGGGAUGACGGCCUUCGGGUUGUAAACCUCUUUCAGUACCGACGAAGCGAAAGUGACGGUAGGUACAGAAGAAGCACCGGCCAACUACGUG